rnacentral:rRNA from 1 species
CGUGUAGGUGGCUCAUUAAGUCACAUGUGAAAUCCCCGGGCUUAACCUGGGAACUGCAUGUGAUACUGGUGGUGCUAGAAUAUGUGAGAGGGAAGUAGAAUUCCAGGUGUAGCGGUGAAAUGCGUAGAGAUCUGGAGGAAUACCGAUGGCGAAGGCAGCUUCCUGGCAUAAUAUUGACACUGAGAUUCGAAAAGCGUGGGUAGCAAAC